rnacentral:rRNA from 1 species
CGCUGGCGGCGUGCUUAACACAUGCAAGUCGAACGGAAAGGCCCUGCUUUUGUGGGGUGCUCGAGUGGCGAACGGGUGAGUAACACGUGAGUAACCUGCCCUUGACUUUGGGAUAACUUCAGGAAACUGGGGCUAAUACCGGAUAGGAGCUCCUGCUGCAUGGUGGGGGUUGGAAAGUUUCGGCGGUUGGGGAUGGACUCGCGGCUUAUCAGCUUGUUGGUGGGGUAGUGGCUUACCAAGGCUUUGACGGGUAGCCGGCCUGAGAGGGUGACCGGCCACAUUGGGACUGAGAUACGGCCUAGACUCCUACGGGAGGCAGCAGUGGGGAAUAUUGCACAAUGGGCGGAAGCCUGAUGCAGCAACGCCGCGUGCGGGAUGACGGCCUUCGGGUUGUAAACCGCUUUCGCCUGUGACGAAGCGUGAGUGACGGUAAUGGGUAAAGAAGCACCGGCUAACUACGUGCCAGCAGCCGCGGUGAUACGUAGGGUGCGAGCGUUGUCCGGAUUUAUUGGGCGUAAAGGGCUCGUAGGUGGUUGAUCGCGUCGGAAGUGUAAUCUUGGGGCUUAACCCUGAGCGUGCUUUCGAUACGGGUUGACUUGAGGAAGGUAGGGGAGAAUGGAAUUCCUGGUGGAGCGGUGGAAUGCGCAGAUAUCAGGAGGAACACCAGUGGCGAAGGCGGUUCUCUGGGCCUUUCCUGACGCUGAGGAGCGAAAGCGUGGGGAGCGAACAGGCUUAGAUACCCUGGUAGUCCACGCUGUAAACGGUGGGUACUAGGUGUGGGGUCCAUUCCACGGGUUCCGUGCCGUAGCUAACGCUUUAAGUACCCCGCCUGGGGAGUACGGCCGCAAGGCUAAAACUCAAAGGAAUUGACGGGGCCCCGCACAAGCGGCGGAGCAUGCGGAUUAAUUCGAUGCAACGCGUAGAACCUUACCUGGGUUUGACAUGGAUCGGGAGUGCUCAGAGAUGGGUGUGCCUCUUUUGGGGUCGGUUCACAGGUGGUGCAUGGCUGUCGUCAGCUCGUGUCGUGAGAUGUUGGGUUAAGUCCCGCAACGAGCGCAACCCUUGUUCACUGUUGCCAGCACGUUAUGGUGGGGACUCAGUGGAGACCGCCGGGGUCAACUCGGAGGAAGGUGGGGAUGACGUCAAGUCAUCAUGCCCCUUAUGUCCAGGGCUUCACGCAUGCUACAAUGGCUGGUACAGAGAGUGGCGAGCCUGUGAGGGUGAGCGAAUCUCGGAAAGCCGGUCUCAGUUCGGAUUGGGGUCUGCAACUCGACCUCAUGAAGUCGGAGUCGCUAGUAAUCGCAGAUCAGCAACGCUGCGGUGAAUACGUUCCCGGGGCUUGUACACACCGCCCGUCAAGUCAUGAAAGUUGGUAACACCCGAAGCCGGUGGCCUAACCGUUGUGGGGGAGCCGUCGAAGGUGGGACUGGUGAUUAGGACUA